AACGCACGAGACCUGCGGACCUGCGGAGGGAUCAUUACCGAGUGCGCACCUGCAACGGUGCAACCUCCCACCCGUGUCUACGAAUACCCUGUUGCUUUGGCGGGCCCACCGGGAAACCGGUCGCCGGGGGACCUGUCCCCGGGCCCGCGCCCGCCGGAGCGCCUGAAGAACCCUGAUGAAGAUGGACUGUCUGAGCGUGAUUGAUAAUCAUUAAAACUUUCAGCAACGGAUCUCUAGAUC
rnacentral:misc_RNA from 1 species